rnacentral:lncRNA from 1 species
GAUCAUCUGAACAUCAAUUGAUAACAGUAGUGCUUCAGUUCAAAAAGCAGUUUUUCUUUCCUUCUUAGGUAGAUCCUCAAAGGUGUUUAGGUCGCAAAGAGUUUGUUCAAGCAGGGAAUCCCUGAAUGUGCAUUUUUUUCCCCUUUGAAAAUUUAACAGGGCACAAGGGUAAAUAUGUAUUUACAAUGCCAUGAACAAUUUUAAUUCUUUAAAAUAUUUAUUUUGUGGUACUAUGGAUUGGGGUGCUCUGUCACUGAGUUACAUCCCCAACUCUAAAUUUCGAGACAAGAUCUUGCUGGAUUGCUCAGGACCUAUCUAAGUUGCUGAGGCUGACCUUGAAUUUGGAUCCUCCUGCCUCAGCAUCCUGAGCCACUGGGAUUACAAGCAUGUGCCACAACACCUGGUUGAAGGCAGUUUUAAUUCUAUAAUGUUUGGACUCUGCAGUUGAGGCCCUUCUUUCCUAAAUAAAGCAGAAGAGUAUCAAGCUGUGUCCUGCCCUAGCACUUCCGGAGCUGGCCUGCCAGCUGAGGGCCACCAGACACAUGGGCUCCAAGUUAUGCAGGAGAUCAAGGGUCCAAGAGAACUGCAGCACAGGCCCUGAGUCUAAUAAGCCAGGUAUGGUGGACAAAAAGAUUCCUUACAUAGAGGAGACAGUUACCACAGGUCUGCUGCUCUUUGGCUGAGUGACCAAUUAGGCCAUCUUCCUCAGGCCUCAGGUCACUCUAAAUUGGGGAUGGCAGGAGUAUGUAUCUCACCUGGUCUUGUGAAGAGUCUAUGAAAUUCAUGAGAGGCACUGAGGUGUCCCACACCCAGGAAGCACCCGAUCCAUGUUAGCCACACCUGGGUCCAGUAUACCCCUACCUUUGCAGGAAGCCAAGUGGCUCCUUAGUUCUCUUGAACACUGACCUGAUCCUGGGGCAGAGCAGCUUGUGACCUGGGGUGCUGAUUGGCUGCUUCUCCUGCUGUUAUUUAUUGCUUCUUCCCUCUAGUUUGCUUUUCCAUAUUAUAAAAGUAAUCUAUGCUCCAAUUCUUGGUAUAUGUUAGGUGCUCAAUAAAUGUGUGAACUGAGUGAAUAUGUGCAUGUGGGAAAACGGCAACAACACAGAGCCUAUAG